rnacentral:rRNA from 1 species
UACGUAGGGGGCUAGCGUUGUCCGGAAUCAUUGGGCGUAAAGCGCGCGUAGGCGGCCAGAUAAGUCCGGUGUGAAAGCCACAGGCUCAACCUGUGAAUGCCGCUGGAAACUGUCUGGCUAGAGUCCGGGAGGGGCGAGUGGAAUUCCUGGUGUAGCGGUGAAAUGCGCAGAUAUCAGGAGGAACACCAAUUGCGAAGGCAGCUCGCUGGGACGUUACUGACGCUGAGACGCGAAAGCGUGGGGAGCAAACAGG